GUCAGCAACUAUAUCAGCUCUCCCUCUAUAUAUAUAAAUAAUUAAAUAUACAUAUAUGCAUCUAGAUAUAUGUAUAUCACCUUUUAUAUUAUCAUACUCAAAAUUCCUAGUUUACCACUCAAAUUGCUUGCUCAUGCUGAUAUAAUAUUUUUUUCAGAAAAAAACUUUGCAUGAAUGAAAAAUAAUUUAAUUACAUGUCUGUUCCGUGUUUUUAAGUAAUGAGAUGAUACUGA
rnacentral:lncRNA from 1 species